rnacentral:rRNA from 1 species
AUUGAACGCUGGCGGCAGGCCUAACACAUGCAAGUCGAACGGUAACAGGAAGCAUCUUGCUGCUUUGCUGACGAGUGGCGGACGGGUGAGUAAUGUCUGGGAAACUGCCCGAUGGAGGGGGAUAACUACUGGAAACGGUAGCUAAUACCGCAUAACGUCGCAAGACCAAAGAGGGGGACCUUAGGGCCUCUUUCCAUCGGAUGUGCCCAGAUGGGAUUAGCUAGUAGGUGGGGUAACGGCUCACCUAGGCGACGAUCCCUAGCUGGUCUGAGAGGAUGACCAGACAGACUGGAACUGAGACACGGUCCAGACUCCUACGGGAGGCAGCAGUGGGGAAUAUUGCACAAUGGGCGCAAGCCUGAUGCAGCCAUGCCGCGUGUAUGAAGAAGGCCUUCGGGUUGUAAAGUACUUUCAGCGGGGAGGAAGGGAGUAAAGUUAAUACCUUUGCUCAUUGACGUUACCCGCAGAAGAAGCACCGGCUAACUCCGUG